GGGGGGCGAAUCUCCUGUGACACCGGUAGAGUUCUAUUGGAAUAAACUGCGUCUCACUGAAUUAUCAUACUGAGUUACUGACCAAAUUUUCUUUAAUAUAACCAUGAUAUGUCAAUUCCAGCGUUCAUAAACUCUUUUCUGUCACAUUGUCUCAGUUCAUUCGAUGUCCGUAAUUCUUUACAGCUCCGCACCAAGUCAAAUUUUCAAAUUUUCUUUCUCGGUAACAAGACAUUGCUCUUUGUUGGGAUAUUUGUCAAAGUGAACUCCCUUAUCACAUUGACCUUUGUUCUGAGUGUUCGUUGUUGACAUAUGAUUGGUCAGUUGAUCUUUCAUUCGGUUUUACACAUGCCCAGAGAAACAUUUGAACUUUGGACUAUUGGAUAUCGCCUUUUUGUGGCUGUUGACAAGCUUAUCCUGUUACUAUGAGAUUAUAACUAGGUUUGAAGGUGACAAACGUG